rnacentral:rRNA from 1 species
GAUGAACGCUGGCGGCGUGCUUAACACAUGCAAGUCGAACGGAAAGGCUCCUGCUUGCAGGGGUACUCGAGUGGCGAACGGGUGAGUAACACGUGGGUGAUCUGCCCUGCACUUCGGGAUAAGCCUGGGAAACUGGGUCUAAUACCGGAUAGGACGAUGGUUUGGAUGCCAUUGUGGAAAGUUUUUUCGGUGUGGGAUGAGCUCGCGGCCUAUCAGCUUGUUGGUGGGGUAAUGGCCUACCAAGGCGUCGACGGGUAGCCGGCCUGAGAGGGUGUACGGCCACAUUGGGACUGAGAUACGGCCCAGACUCCUACGGGAGGCAGCAGUGGGGGAUAUUGCACAAUGGGCGCAAGCCUGAUGCAGCGACGCCGCGUGGGGGAUGACGGCCUUCGGGUUGUAAACUCCUUUCGCUAGGGACGAAGCGCAAGUGACGGUACCUGGAGAAGAAGCACCGGCUAACUACGUG